rnacentral:lncRNA from 1 species
GUUGUCAUACUUGUCUUUAUCUAUUAUAUUUGUCGUCGGCGGUUGAGAGUUACGUAACAUUUUCUACGUUGUCGACCUUAACAUGUUAAAACGCCAUAGCAAGAAGAUCUUCUUCGAAGCUCUAGUUCUACAAUAGAAAUUGCAUCAAUUAGUACAAUAAAUGUGACUAAAAUACUGAGCUUUAGAUGAUAAAACCCACUUGCUCACGAAGAUGUGAAACCCCAGGACUUCUCUACAAAAGAUAUAAUUUUUGAAUAUGUCAAUCGAGGACAUCCGAUCGCAUGACACUAUAAUCAUUCAACUAAACAGGCCAAUUUCGUCAAGGCGCCAGUGGAUCAGGAUUUACUUUUACUGUAGACUGCGAAAAAUUGCAAUAAAGAGUUAAAAUACA